rfam:Helianthus annuus linkage group 3, whole genome shotgun sequence.
UUUUGGGCUUAGUUGGUCGUUGAGCACAUGAAAACUCCACAGUUAAGCAUGCUCAGGUGGAAGUAGUGCUAGGAUGGGUGACCUCCUGGGAAGUCUCCAUUAGGGCAACCA